rnacentral:tRNA from 1 species
CAGAGUGUAGCUAAGAAGUACAGCGUCUCCCUUACACUGAGAAGGCAUCCGUGCAAGCCGGAUCACCCUGA